UGUGAAGGUAAGCUGACUGUGGCAC
rnacentral:piRNA from 1 species